GACGAACGCUGGCGGCGUGCUUAACACAUGCAAGUCGAGCGGUAAGGCCCUUUCGGGGGUACGACGAGCGGCGAACGGGUGAGUAACACGUGGGUGACCUCGCCCUUACGCUCUGGGGAGUAAAGCCCUGGGAAACGUGGGUCGUAAUAACCGGAUAUGACUCCAUGACGCAUGUUGGUGGGGUGGAAAGCCUUGUGCGGCUAGGGAUGGGCCCGCGGCCUAUCAGCUUGUUGGUGGGGUGAUGGCCUACCAAGGCGACGACGGGUAGCCGGCCUGAGAGGGCGACCGGCCACACUGGGACUGAGACACGGCCCAGACUCCUACGGGAGGCAGCAGUGGGGAAUCUUGCGCAAUGGGCGAAAGCCUGACGCAGCGACGCCGCGUGGGGAGUGACGGCCUCGUGUAA
rnacentral:rRNA from 1 species